rnacentral:lncRNA from 1 species
AGCUUGGAGCCCAGUGUUUAAGCCGUAGGAUUUGGCAAACCCUACAACCAAGCUGGUUCCCUGGCUCAUGUCUGGGCUACAUAUAUACCAAGAUUUCUGGAGAUGACUGCACACUCAUCAGAUAAAUUCAGGAUGUGGUUGUAAACUCCAUGGCUAUUUCAACUGUGAGAUAACUGGAGGAACACCAAAAUACUCAAACUGUUCCUGAAAUUGGCUGCACAGCUGAUUUAAAGACUAUGGACACCACCUGCUGUCUGCUGUCCAUCUCCUUAGUCGUCGAACUGAUAGUCCAAGACACCCAAACUCAGCCUGCUCUACCUGCAGCCAGUCUCUCUGUUCCUCACUGCAUUAAUCAGCCUUGUCUCUAGCUGCCUCCUGGCCAUCUACUCUGCCUUCAGACAUUCUCAAACCCGCCCCGGAGAGGAGGAGGUGGUGUGGAUACUAACGGAGUUCUGAACAUCUGGGUACCUUCUGUGGAUCUCUAUAGGCAGGAAAUGAACGAGC